rnacentral:lncRNA from 1 species
UUCUUUGGAGUGAUCUUAUGAGGUUAUUCUCUUGGGGUAUUUGGGAUUAAUUAGAGUAUUUACUCUAAUUUUGUACUCUCUUUUGUGCUCUUGUUGGUAUAGUGAAAUUGUUCCUCUCCGCUUGUGGACGUAGGUCACCUUGACCGAACCACGUUAAAUUUGUGUCUUCUUUAUCUUCUUUAAUUGUCGUUAUUAUCAACUUCCAUUGUCUUUGUUAUUAUCAUUAUAACAUUGUUUGGUUAAAUUUCAUACUACCCGGAUUCCCGAUCCUAACAAAUUGGCAUCAGAGCCAGAUCUAACCGGGUUAGUUUAAAUAGCCAAAAUGACUCUAACAAAGUCUUAUGUUGAGAAAUUUGACCGAAGUGCAAACUUCGGAAUGUGGCAAUUAAAGAUGGAAGCUAUCCUAAUUCAGGAUGACUUAGAUUUGGCACUGCAAGGAAAGGAGAAGAUGCCGGAUAAAAUAAUGGACGAGAAGUUUGCCGUCAUAGACAAAAAGGCAAAAGCAUGUAUUAUUUUAAAUCUUUUAAAUGAGGUUUUGCGUGAAGUUGCAGCAGAAAACGCAGCCAAAGACAUAUGGGAAAAGCUUAAAACCUUAUAUAUGAAAAGAAUAGUAGAAAACAGGCUUUACCUAAAGCAAAAACUCUACACUUUUCGUAUGGCUGAAGAUACCUCUAUAUUUACUCAUCUUGAUACUUUUGAUUCUCUUCUUAUGGAUUUAAGUAACAUAGAUGCUGAAAUCAAAGAUGAGGAUCAAGUUGUGUUAUUACUUAUUUCCUUACCCCAGUUGUUUAAACAUAUAAGAGAUACUAUGCUUUAUGAAAAGGAUAAUAUCUCUUAUAAAGAUAUCAAAUCUAUUUUGAAAUCAAAAGAACAAAUAGAUAGAGAUAUUACUGGGGAAACUAGUGGGAACCAAGGGGAAGGAUUAUUCAUAAGAGGUAGAUCCAAUAAGAAAGAUUCAAAUAAUGAAAAACCUAAAUCAAGGUCAAAAUCCAGAUACAGAAAUGUCAUGUGCAAAUAUUGUCAUAAGAAAGGUCACAUUAUUUCUGAAUGCUUUAAAUUGAAAAACAAAAAAAAGCAUACAGAAAAGAAAAAUGAGCACAAAAAUACUAACACUGCCGAAGCAAGUGUAGUUGCUGAUGAGACUGAGGGAACUAUUUUUUUAGCAACUAAUAAUAGUUUCAAAUCUAACAAUGAGUGAAUUUUAGAUUCGAGUUGUUCUUAUCAUAUGUGUCCUAGUCGGAAUUUAUUUACCACAUAUGAAUCUAUUGGAGGUGAAGUUAUCUUGAUGGGCAACAAUGAUGCCUGCAAAGUUAUUGGAAAAGGUACAGUCCGAAUCAAAAUGCACAAUGGUGUGGUGAGAACUCUCACCGAUGUUAGACAUGUUCCCGACUUGAAUAAAAAUCUCAUCUCUUUGGGCACUCUAGAAUCUCUUGGGUGCAAGUACACAGGUGAAGGUGGAGUUCUGAAAAUUUCUCAUGGUGCUCUUGUGAUCAUGAAAGCAUGCAGAUCUGGUACGUUGUAUACUCUUUUGGGAUCUACUGUUACAGGUGCUGCUGCAGUUUCAAUAUCAGAUAAAUCAGAUUCUGACAUCACCAAAUUGUGGCAUAUGCGUUUGGGGCAUAUGAGUGAAAAAUGUCUUUCCAUCCUCACCAAAAGAGAUCUCUUAUGUGGCCAAAGUACCAGAAAUAUGGAGUUCUGUGAAUAUUGUGUGUUCGGAAAAUAGAAAAGAGUCAGCUUCAAAUCUCCAAAAAUUCAUAGAACAAAAGGUACUUUGGAUUACAUUCAUUCAGAUCUUUGGGGUCCUUCAUGUACUCCAUCAAAAGGUGGUGCCAGAUAUAUGUUAACUUUCAUUGAUGAUUAUUCAAGAAAUGUUUGGGUUUAUUUCCUGAAAAAUAAAAGUGAUGUUUUCUUAAAUUUCAAACAAUAGAAUAUUUUGAUUGAGAAGCAAACAGGAAACAGGUUAAGCGGCUUAGAACAGAUAAUAGCUUGGAAUUUUGUAAUGAUGAAUUUAACGAAUUUUGCAAGAAUGAAGGAAUUGCUCGACAUCGUACUGUGAGAAUGACACCUCAGCAAAAUGGUGUGGCAGAAAGGAUGAAUAGAACUAUUUUGGAAAGGGCUCGUUGUAUGAUUUCAAAUACUGGGUUGACAAACGCCUUUUGGGCAAAAGCUAUCUCUACAACUUGUUAUAUUGUCAACCGAGCUCCUUCUGCACCUUUGAACUUAAAGACUCCAGAGGAAGUGUGGUCAGGUACUCCUGCUAAUUAUUCCGAUUUAAAGAUAUUUGGUUGCCCUGCAUACAUGCAUGUAAAUGAUGGAAAAUUAGAGCCAAGGGCUUAAAAAGUGCAUUUUCCUUGGGUAUGCAUCUGGGGUGAAAGGAUACCGACUAUGGUAUCCUAAUCCCAUGGCACCAAAAUUUAUAAUUAGCAGAGAUGUAACCUUUGAUGAAUCCUCUAUGUUACAUUCUAGAAAAGAGUUUUCUAGUUCUUGUGAUACAGAUAAAGGAAAGUAUACACAGAACUAGGUGGAGAUUGAGCUUGGCAUUCCUUCUGAGCCAAGCUCAUCAACUUUGGAGCAAAAUAUAGUUGAAACUCCUGAAGUUGAGACAAAAGCUGAAAUUUCUGAAGUUGAGACUCCUGAAGUUGAACCAGAAGAAGAGGAGUAUUCUAUAGCCAAACAUAGACCAAGAAGAGAAGGUAAACAACCAUUAAGGUUUGGAGAUUAUGUUGCAUUUGCUUUUUUAGUUGCAAAGAAAACUGAAGAAAUUGGAGAACCAUCAAAAUAUUCAGAAGCAGUUUCUGGUGCUGACUCAGCCAAGUGGCUGAUUGCAAUGAAUGAAGAAAUUGAGUCUCUCCACAAGAAUGGUACUUGGUCUCUUGUGAAGCUGCCAUCAGGAAAAAGAAUUGUUGGUUGCAAAUGGGUCUUCAAGAAAAAGGAUGGCAUUUCAGGGGUUGAAGAUGCGAGGCAUAAGGCACGAUUAGUUGCAAACGGCUAUAGUUAGGUACAAGGAGUUGAUUUUAAUGAUAUUUUUUUACCUAUUGUUAAAUAUACCUCUAUUCGUGUCUUGCUUGCCUUCGUUGCCAUGUAUGAUUUGGAAUUAGAAUAACUUGAUGUUAAGACAACUUUCUUACAUGGCGAACUUGAGGAACAAAUAUACAUGCAUCAACCCGAAGGAUUUGAAAUUGAAGGAAAAGAAAAUCAUGUUUGCUUGUUGAAGAAAUCCUUGUACGGAUUAAAGCAAUUUCCAAGACAAUGGUAUAAAAGGUUUGAUUCCUUUAUGUUGGGUCAUGGUUAUUUGAGGAGUAUGUAUGAUAGUUGUGUUUACUUCCGGAAGUNNNNNNNNNNNNNNNNNNNNNNCCUUGGCAUGGAGAUCAAAAGAGAUCGAAAAGCUAACAGGCUAUUUCUGACCUAGAAGAAGUACUUGGAGAAAAUCUUGGAGAGGUUUGGCAUGAAAGAUGCUAAACCAGUUAGCACCCCUCUUGCUGCUCAUUUUAAGUUAUCAGCUGCUCAGUUCCCGCAAUCAGAGGAAGAAGAGAGGUACAUGGCAUAUGUUCCUUAUUCCAGUGCAGUCGUCAGUAUUAUAUAUGCAAUGGUUUGUACACGUCCAGACAUUUCACAAGCAGUGAGCAUGGUAAGCCGGUAUAUGGCUUGCCCUGGUAAAACACAUUGGCAUGCUGUGAAAUGGAUUCUCAGAUACUUGCGAGGUACUUCAAACACAUGUUUGGAGUUUGGGAGAAAUACUAACACUUUGGUUGGUUUUGUAGACUCAUAUUAUGCAGGUGAUCUUGACAAAAGAAGAUCACUGACAGGCUAUGUAUUUUGCAUCGAUGGUUGCGCUAUUAGUUGGAAAGCUACAUUAAAACAUGUAGUAGCUUUAUCUACUACCGAAGCAGAAUAUAUGGCAGUGACCGAGGCGAUCAAAGAAGCUUUAUGGUUGAAGGGUCUACUUGCGGAACUCAGUUUACACCAAGGUGGUAUUACCAUUUUCUGUGACAGUCAAAGUGCCAUUCACUUGACUAAAGAUCAAAUGUAUCAUGAGAGGACGAAGCACAUUGAUAUAAAGUAUCAUUUCAUCCAAGAAACCAUUGCUGAAAGAAAAGUCUCUAUUUAGAAGAUCAACACUAGAGACAAUCCUGCUGACAUGUUCACAAAACCUCUUCUAGUAUACAAGUUCAAGCUUUGCCUGAACUUGAUUGGCAUUUAUGAAGAAUGAUUUUGCCCAUUGGGGUUUUUGCGGAGAAGAUGGAGCAAAUUUACUAUAUAUAAGCCGAAAUUAGGCCAAGGUGGAGAUUUGUAAUAUGGCCAAAUUUUCAUGAUAUUUGCCAUGACAUAAUAUCCAUUAUAACAAAUUUGUGGUUCGUGACAUUUGCCAUGACAUAAUAUCCAUUAUAACAAAGUUGUGGAUCAUGACAUUUGCCAUGACAUAAUAUCCAUUAUUAGGCCAAGGAUUUCUUGCUAUAAAUAGAGGAGUUUCUCCUCAUUUGAAAACACACCAAUUAAAGAGCUUUUCACUCUUGUCUUUCUUUCUCCUCAUUUAUUUCAUUAUAGAGUAUUUUGUAAGAGAGUGAGUGUUGAGAAACACUUGUGUGAACCCUUUUUUUGGAGUAAUCUUGUGAGGUUAUUUUCUUGGGGUAUUUGGGAUUAAUUAGAGUAUUUACUCUAAUUUUGUACUCUCUUUUGUACUCUAGUUGGUAUAGUGAAAUUGCUCCUUUUAGCUUGUGGACGUAGGUCACCUUGACCGAACCACGUUAAAUUUGUGUCUUCUUUAUCUUCUUUAAUUGCCGUUAUUAUCAACUUCCAUUGUCUUUGUUAUUAUCAUUAUAACGUUGUUUGGCUAAAUUUCGCACUACCCGGAUUCCCUAUCCUAACAAGGGAAAAAAUAUUUAAUUAUAAUAAUUAAUCUAUUUUGCUUAAAUUGUUAACCUCAUAUGUAUAAUUCAUAAAUCAGGAUCACCUGGUGAGCUAAUAUAAUGCUUGAAACAAACUUCUCUUCACCGUCGAGAAAUUCCACUUCUACAUGUUUCGGUCACUAAUUAAUUGCGGCAUUUGUCCUGCGCGAGCG